UUUAGAUCUCUUUCGUGGAAGUUGGGCUUCUACGUCGGCCACCUUUCUCUGUCUUCAUCUUUCAUUUUCCCCCUUAUUCUCACACACCAAACAGCAUGUGGGGCCGUGGGGAAGAAGACCCAGGCCAGUUGCUUCUAGGGACCCAUUGGGCUAGACAGUGGGCCGGAUCGUUUGCCACUUUUCUGGACUCAUGCCCAUUUCGGUAAUUCAGCACUCCCUGCAUUUUAGGGUUUCCGAGAACCACUAUAAAUCAGUGCUUUUUGCCUCCGCCCUUACGAAUCCGCUUCACCUGCUGAAGAUGUAUUGGCCAAGAGCUGUGGCCAAGCAGGUUGUGUUGUUUGAUUAGGGUUACCUUUUGUGGCAUUGGUGGUGACCCGAUUUGAGGCGGACUCCAUUACUGAGUCAACAGCGGGGGCCUAUUGGUGGUGACCCGUCUGCCGCUUGGAGUCCAUAUGAACUCACCGGAGGAAGAUCCUUGAAACUCACCGUUGUUUCAUGACACAAUACUCUGGUUACAUUUUCACGCUUUUUUUCUUCUUUUUUUGAUCUGGUUGGCUGUUCUUGAUUGUACUUAAAACGCAAUCGUUUUGAUAUGUUAUUGUAGAAACAUGGCACUCAGUCAGACACGGGUGUUUGUUGGUCAACUUGAUAACAAUCCACCUUUUGCAUGGUGCCUAGAAAUAGCUACUGAUCACGAUUGGAGGAAGCCACCCACUCCAUGGUUUCCUUCAAAUUUAAAGCAGCUAAAUUCUUAACAAUAUAUUUUACAGAAAAGUGAUGCAUUUUCGUUGAA